CCAUGCCUUGUGCAUACACUGAACGGCGACUUGUUGAGGUCUCUUGACCCGCCAGAAGGUAAGCAGCUGACUGCCAACCUGAUCUGUAUGUCCCUAGAGACAUUUGUUAUGAUCAGGUUUGACCAGAACAUCAUCUGUAACUUCAGCAUCAACGGACGAUUACAGAAGCAUACCAAACAUAAAGAUAAUAUUCAGGCAAUGACGCUCAGCAGAGAUGGACAGUACCUUAUGCUGGGAGGUGAUAAUGGUGUCGUUGAGGUGUAUAGGUCACAUGACCUUACAUUGCUGUACUCGUACCCAGCAUGUGAUAGUUGUAUAUGAUCCCUAGCUCUUUCACAUGAUCACAAAUUUUUGCUGGCAGGUUUGGCUACAGGAUGUUUGUUGGUGUUUAACAUUGACUUCAACAAGUGGCACCAUGAAUACCAGGAAAAAUAUUAACUUGCUGAAGUGUAGAUAUCUAAUAAAUUGUGUACCGCGCAAAUCUGACAGAUCAACUUGUAGCUUUCGUACCACAUGAAUUAAGUAAAAAUGCAGAUAUACUAGUAAUUUUAUACAGCAGGAUACUAGUAUUUGAGAAGCAGUGUAUAGACUCUUUACUUACUGGAGAAAUGUGACAGUAUUGAGAAAUACAUGGUAAACAUACAUAGUGGGAUAAAUUGUAAGCUUUCUUGGUACCCUACAGUCUUGACAAAUCUGGAAUCACAUGUAUUUACUUUAUAGUAUUAAUGUUCUUAGUAAAUCAGGCAAUACUAACACUUGCACUUGCAGAUUAGUUUUCAGACUUGAAAAACUUGGUACAAGCUUUGUUUUAUAAGCAAACUACUGUGUGACUAUAAUGUUGAGACACAGUCUCCAUUCUAGGACAUAAGGUUAUAAAACUGAAUUCGGAGAGAAGUGUCAAACCACAGCGUAAUUCUGAUUGGUUUUUUCUCAACAUAAAUUUGAAAUUAACAAAUGGCAAUGCUUCAGUCUGAAACUGGACUCAAAACCCUUGUAUCUGAUUGGUUGUUUCUCAGCAUAAAUUUUGAAAUUGACCAAUGGCAAGUCUUGUGACUGAGACUGGUUUCAAAGCUCGUUUGAAUAGCCUUUGACCCAGAAGUAGCACACAUGCAUGCUGUUGAUACUCUUGCCCAUCUGUUAUAGUCUGGUUCAAAAUGAUACUUAGAAUAGCCAUGUUAAUGAAUUAUUUCAAUUUUACAUUUGUAUAAAUAUCCCUUUGCAUUGCCUAUAAAACUUUGUAAACAAGAUGAAUUUUAUUAUUAAGCAGAAAUAACUCCCAAGUUUCUUUCAUUAAAAAGAAAACAGAUAUUUUAAGACUUUUCUGUGACACAUCUGAGAAAAUAACUCCAUUUUAUAGCAAUAAUGGGUGUGUUUUGAUACUGGUUACUCAUAUACGUCUUCGUGUAUAUACAGGCACGUAAGCUAGUGACUAAUUGUAACAGUAAUCAGCAUAUUCUGCCAUGUUAUUUGGUAACAUUUCUUCAGAACAUUAUCUUUUAAAGCAAACUUUGAUUGUAAAUUAAUAAAUAUCUUGUAUCAAGACUGCAGGAUUUUGCAAGUUUUUCAGAAUUCAAACAAUGUAAGUAACAGCUAAAACAUGUGACAAGAUUUACUCUUCUAUAUGAUGAUUUCUUUGGUAGUUUGGAAAGUUUAACAAUGAAUAUUGUUAGUAUUUGUUAAGUUAUAAAGAAUCAAAUCAAAUCGUGUUUUGAAAAAUUAAGUAUAAAAGGUGAACUGAUCAGACAAAAUGUGAAAAAAUGUCAUGGUAAACUGUACCUAAAAUGAGAGAAAGAUUUAUAUUACUUAAUGGUAUAUAAAAUGUAAACUUGCAAUGUGGAAAAAUGUUAUGAUACUUAAAAUGUGAACUUGAAAUGUGACAAAUAUUAUCAAGAUAUUUGAAAUGUGAAAAAUAUAAGGUAUUUGAAAUGUGAAAAAAAUGUUAUGAUACACAAACUGUGAAAAAUGUACUGAUACAUGUGUUUGCUUAUGAUUACAUUUUAUGGUUUUGUAGACUGAAUACAAUUAUUUAGUUAUAAUUAAUUUGAAAUGUUGAAAAAUGUUAUGAUACUUAAAAUGUGAACUUGAAAUCUGACAAAUAUUAUCAAGAUAUUUGAAAUGUGAAAAAUAUAAGGUAUUUGAAUUGUGAAAAAAAUGUUAUGAUACACAAACUGUGAAAAAUGUACUGAUACAUGUGUUUGCUCAUGAUUACAUUUUAUGGUUUUGUAGACUGAAUACAAUUAUUUAGUUAUAAUUAAUUUGAAAUUUUAAGCAGAGACUGGAACCACUGCCUUGUCCUUGCAUGAUCGUAAAAGGCGACUAAUAGGGUCUUAACACUUGGUUUUGCUGUAACUCUGUGAUUCCAGCAGGUAUGCAAAUUUUGAUUUCUAUACCUCAUGUUUUUAUUUCGAUGUAAAUGAGAUGUGAAACCAAAAUUUGUAGUCCUGUUUGGCGCCAUAUAACCUAUACUAUGUUGGUGCGCCGUAAAACCCAAAUAAAUAAAUGCUUGAAAAAGAAAACUUAUUGUACCUGUUUGUGCAGAUUGAAGUUUGUGAUUUAGCUUUAGUUAUUUUUUUGUCAUUGAGUGUGGACAGUAGAUAUAUUUAUUUAGUUAGAUGCAUUGCUAUUCUUAACUUGCUGGAUUUUCUACAAUACAAGGUAAAUAUACAUAUCAUUCAGCUUAUGGAAAAUAUUUUGAAAUUAACAUUUUAACUAAAGUUGAGCAAUUCCUAUUGUCUAUAACGGUGUUGUUCUGGUAUCAAAACGCAGUCACCUGUAGAUUUUCAGGUGUGAAAGUAAUACAUUCAUGCAGUGUUUUGUGUGCAGUGUUUUGUGUUUUAAAAAAAUAAUGUUCUUUUGUAUUUAUGAUAAUAUAAACAUUGCUGUAGUAAUGACUGCCACUUUACCAUGCAUGAUCUAUACUGUAAGAGAAAAAUGGCAGUCAACUUGUCAUAAGUGUACUAUACUUGAAAAAGUGUGCAUGUGUUUUUGCUGUAAGCAAAACGAAUUUCUGAAUGUAUUAUGUACUUGAUGCAAUAUAAAUAUUAUAUUUAUAUGUAUCUAAUCUGGGUCAUAGAUUAUAAAACUAAAUUUGGGAACCAGUCAAAAAAUUACAACAUCUGAUUGGUUGAUUUUAAGAUUGGUUGACUAAUGGCAAGGUUUCCUCGUCAGACUGGUCUCCAAACUGAGUUUUAUUAUCUUGGACUCAUUUCAUAACUUAUUAUUAACAUAGGGUUAGGGUUUGUUUGUGUUUUUAUUUUAUGAUAAGGUAUUUAUACCAUGCUUUUAUAUAUAAAGGAAAAAAUGUUAAAUUUAUGAGGAGAUAUACCUCCCUACAUAACCAGCUGCAUUACAUAAUAUUACACAGAAAUUUUUAUAUUAAGUAAUAUAUGGAUACAAAAGUUUUUAUAUUUAAGACAAAGUGAAAUUUAGCGGUAUAAAAGUUUAACUAGAUAUGUCAGAUCCACUUUUGACCGUUCAAUAAAAUCUGUUACUCUGGCAUUUUACUCAAGUUAAAACAAUAUAUAAUAUGGAAAUGACAGCCUCUAACAGUUUGUUUAUAAGCUUGAGUUUUCUGUUCAAAAAAUGGAUUUUAUAUGAUUUGCAUUACAAAAUAAGAAUUUUUGUUUCUUUGCAUAGUUGAUAUUUCAUAUUUUUGAGUAUUUGCAAGGAAAGAUUGCAUGAUACACUUAUGGAAAUCACUCACAAGGCUGCUCUCAAACUGAACUCAAAUACCAGUUCGAUUUAUCUCAAGUAUUUCCCAUUCUAUGUUAUAUGGUAUUAUGAGGUUUUAGGAAAAAUGUGGCUAGAUAUCCAUAUUUUGAUUCCUUUGUGUACAUGUCAUAACCUUGUGAAUAGAGAUAAAGCCUUAUAUAUGAUGGAAACAACACAGAGUUUUCUUAGUCAUUCAUUUUGUGAAUAUAUUUGAAGGUGCAUUAUCAGUUAUAUCACAUGACUGCACAUUCAAGUAUAUCGAGUUAUGGUAUCCGAAACUGUAAAAAUAAAAUGCAUGUAAUUCAAUAUUUUUUGUAUUUGAAGACAUGCUAUAGCAUCGAGAUACAAUAAACGUUUAUACUUUCCACUAGACAAAAGUGGAGCAGCGAGUUCUGUGUGAUAUAGAUCUUUCUGUGUAGAUGUAUGUAGGGGGUUAUUUUCCAUCCAGUAUAAGGCAGUGAAACUUUGAAGUUCAUUCCUGUAACAACCAUUCCACUCACAUUUGUAUGUUGUCUAUAUUUCAUAUUGAUAAAUAAAACUAUUUACACAUUCA